rnacentral:rRNA from 1 species
UACAGAGGUCUCAAGCGUUGUUCGGAAUUACUGGGCGUAAAGGGUGCGCAGGCCGCGCGGGCAGUCAAAUGUGUAAUUCAGAGGCUCAACCCCUGCACUGCGCUUGAUACUUCCGCGCUCGAGCUUUGGAAAGGAGUCUGGAAUUUCUCGGUGUAGCAGUGAAAUGCGUGGAUAUCGAGAAGAACACUUAGGGCGAAGGCAAAGACUCUGGACAAAUGCUGACGCUCAUGCACGAAGGCUAGGGGUAGCGAAACGGGG